rnacentral:rRNA from 1 species
AGCGAACGCUGGCGGCAGGCCUAACACAUGCAAGUCGAACGAACCCUUCGGGGUUAGUGGCGGACGGGUGAGUAACACGUGGGAACGUGCCUUUAGGUUCGGAAUAACUCAGGGAAACUUGUGCUAAUACCGAAUGUGCCCUUCGGGGGAAAGAUUUAUCGCCUUUAGAGCGGCCCGCGUCUGAUUAGCUAGCUGGUGAGGUAAUGGCUCACCAAGGCUACGAUCAGUAGCUGGUCUGAGAGGAUGACCAGCCACAUUGGGACGGAGACACGGCCCAAACUCCUACGGGAGGCAGCAGUGGGGAAUCUUGCGCAAUGGGCGAAAGCCUGACGCAGCCAUGCCGCGUGGAUGAUGAAGGUCUUAGGAUUGUAAAAUCCUUUCACCGGUGAAGAUAAUGACUGUAGCCGGAGAAGAAGCCCCGGCUAACUUCGUGCCAGCCGCCGCGGUAACAC